rnacentral:rRNA from 1 species
UACGUAGGGGGCAAGCGUUAUCCGGAUUUACUGGGCAUAAAGGGCGCGUAGGUGGUGCUUUAAGUCGGAUGUUAAAUCUCCCAGCCUAACUGGGACCCGCAUUCGAUACUGGAGCACUAGAGUACAGGAGAGGAAAGCGGAACUCACGGUGUAGCGGUGAAAUGCGUAGAUAUCGUGGGGAACACCAGUUGCGAAGGCGGCUUUCUGGACUGUUACUGACACUGAGGCGCGAAAGCAUGGGGAGCAAACAGG